GUCUUCCACUAGCAGCCUUCAGAUGAAGAUGUAGACCUCUCAGCUCCUCCUGCACCACGCCUGCCUGGAUGCUGCCAUGUUCCUGCCUUGAUGAUGAUGGACUGAACCUCUGAACCUCUCAGAUUGAAGGCUUCCUCAUGCAGAAAGGACAGACCUGAGCAGACACAGAAAUGCCUGGGGCGCUUACAAAAUGGUGCAGAUCCCCAGGUGCCAGCCUGGAAGAGGGUGACUCAGAGGGUCUAAGCGAUACAAGCUCUCGGGGAUUGUGAGACACACAUCAGACACACCAUGCUCAUCUCAAAGGAAGAAGAAAACUGGGCAAUGGGCUGACCCAAGGGCAGGCACCUAUGGGUGGAAGGAGUGGGGGGAUACGUGGCCUUGUAUCAUUAAAUUAAAUCUCCACU